UCCAUACUCAAGGCUGCCUGCCAGCUUGAAAAUCUGGAUCCUGAUCAGCAAACUUUGAUGAGAAUCAAUUCAAUAUAACUUGCUACAUUAGCAGUUGACGUGAGAAUGAGCUCAGGGAGAUGAAAAGCCAGCACAGCUUCUGUUAGCAGUUAGACAAAACUGCUGCAUUUAUUUGUGCAUUUGCAAGAGGAAUAGCUUUUUGAUUCACUGGGCCUUCAACUUCUGUCCUUCCUCUACAAAGACAGACACAUGACCUGGCAAAUCAGAUCUUUCAGCUUUUGCCCAUUAGGGAGAUGUUUCACUACUCUACCUUAAGAGAUGUUUGGGAGCAGCUUCCUGGUGAGCAUUUGUUAACAUUGAAGCAUGAGUGUUGGUGAAUAACUGCAAAGAGGACUUCUCAGAGUGCGUGGAGAAAAGCUUCAGGGAUGCUGACUCAGCCAUUAGGGAAGCUAGACUGUAAAGAAGAUGAAUGUUGGUGUUGGAAGAGGAUCAACUUAUGGAGCAUGAGCCCAAUAAAUGAAAUGGACGUUCUUCUCUCCAAAGAGACUAUUUUUCUGGAAAUUGAGGGGUUUUUUUAGCUAAUAUAAUCAGUACUUUUCCCUGUGCUAAGAUACAUCAUAUGCUGCAGUAUGCAUUGUACAUUUGUCUAUGGUAUUUUAUACAAGUCUUAUUUCAGUGGUAAAUCUUAUAUGUUAAGAGUUUCCUUAUAUUUGGAUUACAGUUUGAAAUUGUUCAGAGCAAACUGAGACUAAAGAUCCUGAAGAAGCUAAUAAAAACUAUGACACAAAUGCUCA
rnacentral:lncRNA from 1 species